rnacentral:rRNA from 1 species
GCUUGACUGUAGCUUGUAAUUGGGUUCGGCUUUUUUGCGCAGCCUAGGUGGGGAGGGCAACGAUGAUUUUUUUCCGGAAAAAUUUGAGCCGUUAGUGAGAGACCACUCUGAAAAGGCUAGAAUCCUAAUAAUGAUCCUUGAAUCAGGACAUUUGACAGUUGCAGGUGGGCAGUUUUACUGGGCGGUAUUCUCCUAAAAAAGUAACGGAGGGGUGCAAAGGUUCCCUCAAGCUGGACGGAAAUCAGCUUAAGAGUGUAAAGGCAAAAGGGAGCUUGACUGCAAGACCUACAAGUCGAGCAGGGGCGAAAGCCGGCCUUAGUGAUCCGACGGUACCACGUGGAAGGGCCGUCGCUCAACGGAUAAAAGUUA